rnacentral:lncRNA from 1 species
AUUGUUUGUGUAUAUGAUUCAAAAGUUGGCAGAAAAUGAUAUAAAAGCUGGCAAAUUUGUCAUAUUUUUGCAGUUUUCAUGUGUGUGCAUCUGAGGGAGAUCGCUUAUGGUGGAAAGGUGGUAACAAAAAUCCAACUUCAAUAAAAAUGGCACGUCUCUUGUCUUAUGUCACCCGUGAACAUAUGUGAAAUCUCCGGCCAAACAAAGCAAAAGAAUGAUAAAGCACAACACCUACUAAUAUUUUUUCAACUAUUUGGACCUAACUUUUGUAGAGAACAAUAUGUUGUACCCGAAUUGACACAAUUGAUAGGGUACUUUGCAGUUGUUUGAAAAUACAAUUCAAUAUCUCAAUACAUCUUCUUUCAAACAGUCUAAACUUUUAGAUGAGAUAAUUGAAUACACAAAAUAUGCAGAGAUUUCGAGUCCAAAUUGCACCAUAAUCGAUUUACAAAAGUUUUGCCACAAGGUCUUCAGUGAAUAAAUGAAAGCGAUUUUGACAUAAAUUCCAAGUCUUGAAGUAUUCAAAUUAAUCAACAUAUCACCUAUCUAUUGGGUGGUUAAACAAAUGAAUAAAGCUAUAUGUACAAAGUGAGGAUAAAUCCCUAUAGGAGUUGGUAUAAAACAAUAAGGCAAAUGAAGUAGGUCUCAUAUCCAAAUAUUUAAUUGACUUUAUCUUCUCACCUCACAUCGCAUGGAGGUGAUCGAUUAUGUGUGUGCCAACACGAGUGACUUCAAGAGCAUGUCAAAUAUCAUAUGCCGAUUCACAUGUGCUUUUUUUUUUAUCAAAUUCAUUUCUAUCAAGUGCACAAUAAAUCAAAUUCUUAGCCUUGGAAUUUAAGGAUAAUUUUUUCUUAUCUUCUUCAUCAUAUACUUCCCUAGUUUUAGAAAUAGUUUGGAGUCUACCAUCUAUUUUAAUAGUUUUAGUAGGAACAUAUGGACCGAAUUCGAUAACUUCCCAAUUAUAAUCAAUUUAUUGCACAUAUAUCAUCAUACUAGCCUUCCAAUAAUUGUAGUGUGUGCCAUCAAAGAAGGGGGGUUGAUUAGUGGAGUCUCCCUCAAGAGUUUGAAAAACUUGGUUAGCCAUUACUCAAGAUUGUAAAUUUUUUUGAAGGCGAGUACCUUGCUUUAAUACCAAUUGAAAGCCUAAGAACGAUUAACCAUGAGAGGGGUGGAUGAGUUAUUUAAAUCUUUUUUGAAAUAAAAUGAAAAUUUAAGCAAAUACUAAGUAAUCAAGAUGUGAACAAAAUAACACAAGUAACAUAAGUAAAAGGGAGGGAAAGGCACAAAUGAUGUAAUAAAGGGAUUCAAUCCAAACCACGAUCUAUGUACCCUUUUGCAAAACUCCCUGUCACGAACAAGGCCUUUGUCACUAAAUUUGAUUGACUUGUAGCGCAAUCCAACCCUUACAACACUUCCAGUGACUUACAACCAAGAAACACCAAUCCUUUUACACCGUUGAGCUUUUUGGGAUCUCAACAGACCCAAAAUCCAAAAACAAAAAACGAAAUUACAAUUAAAAGUUUCUCUCUUAAUUAAUGAUAUGAACUUAAUUAAGAGUCAAGAGAGAAGUAGGUUCAACACUUCAAUAACUCACAAAGAAUAUAGUUCAAGUGUUGUCUGAAAAACUUUAAUUGAGAUAUAUGAUUUUUGCAAAGUUUGAUUACUCAAAAAGUUUUUUAAGAAAUAAAUAAUUUGAUAUUCUAAAGAUUGGAAACAAGGUGAAAAAGAUCAAUAAAUAACUCUUAAAUGCUCAAUAAAUGGUUGUUGCAAAUGAGGUAGAGAAAGGGGUAUUUAUAGCCAUCAAAUGGUCAAAAAAUAUGUCAAUCCGAAUAUGGGAUCUGGAUGGGUAACUAGCUGUUUGAAAAACGAUCAUAAAUUCGACUGUUGGAAUUGCCCAUCCUAAUUUUUCUUCUUCAUAAUGAAUUUUCUCUAAGGUACUUGAAGGAUAUUGGUAUUUAUUUUGUAUAUAUAAGUAUGUAUGUAGAGAUUUAAUCAUGAAAAUCGAAUACUUAUCUUUUGAAAAUGAUUUUUAUGCAAGUAUAGUUUGUCGUGAAAAAGUGUCGUGCAUAAAAACCGUUUGAGUUAUAGUCGAUGCGAAAUAUUGAAAAGUUAUACCUUUACAUUUGAGUACAAAAUGCAUCUAUCUCUAAGGUCUUCAAUCUUUUCUUCCAUUGCAAUGUUUAAUGCGGAGACUCGAUUUCCAUUUCCAUGUUUGUCAAUCUUCAAUCUUGCUUGUGCAUUGAUUGUUUGGCACCAAAGUUUGUUCAUCCAUGUGCAUGAGUCUUGAUCUCGAUUCUCGUGUUUUCAUUCUUUGAUAAUUACUAACAACACUUAAAUUCAAUUUGUUAAAAUCAAACGCAAUUUGUUUAUGAUAAUCAAAAUGAGAAGUCAACCAUUAGGUUAACACAUUGCGCAAGAGCUGCACAAUGAAUAGCAACCACCACCAUCAAACCUACACCUAAAACCAAAAUCCCCACCUCAACAUUUUUGUAAAUUAAGCUAUUGAUUGUUAAAAUUUUGAGGCUGGAAAUCAUAGAAAAAUGUUCUAGUUUCGAGGCCGAUUUUACUCGCUAAGAAAAUGGAAGAAAACAACAAGUUCUUAGUCUCAGCCGAUACUAGGCUUUUAUUAUUGCUUAUUGUAGCUCUAGGCAAUAAACAAUUGGUGAGCGGUCUUUAGGUUUUGGAGAAAUUUUUUCAAUUUUGUUAUAUAAUUUUACAAUAGUCAGUAAAAACUAAUUCAGUAUAAGGACGAUGGGUGUAUGAUUGGAUUUUUUAGGAUGGGGUGUGAGAAGGAUAUUUUUUUACAACAGUAUUCUGUGAUUGGUUAUUUGACAGUGGUAUUGGCGAUAGGUGGUGGCGCUGGUGGCCAAUUUUAGGGGAAAAGAGGAUAAGGUCGAGUGGGGGUAGGGCGAGGAGACUGAAGGAGACAAUUUUUUUCCUUAAUUUUUUUUUUGUUUUUUAUUAUUUUUUUAUCCUAGUUUUUUGAUUUUUUUUUAGCUCAUUUGUUUAAUAUAAUAAUUAUCAAGUUAUUAUUUUACCCUUUUUAAUGUGGUCAAAAUUUACUUUUUUUUGGUCAACUAAUGGACAAAUAGAUGAAAAAUAUUUGUUUGGAUCUCUGCUGCAUAUUUUCAAAAGGUUAGGGACCUUUGAUGACAAAUUGAAGGUUAUGGUAAAAUCUGCAAAAAGGUGAAAGAUUAAGGACUGUUGCUGCAAUUUUUUAUUUUUUUUUUCAUUAAAACCAAAAUUUACAUGUAACUUAAAUACAUAAUAAUAUUUAAAGACGUUGAGGCAUUGAGUUGAUGAGUUUAAAUUCAAUAAUUGGGUAAGCUUUUGAUCCAUUGUCCUAAUUUUCAUUGAUAUGGUCUAGAUCAUUACUAGAUAAUCACAAUAUUUUAAUUUCUUUUUGAGGACAUUAAUUCAUACAUUUAGUGAGACUUGCAAGCUAAUUCGAUCCAUCUUCCCAAUUUUGGUUUAUUUAGUUUAUAUCAUCUUAUUAGUAGAUAAUAACUUUCUUACCCUUCCAUCUCCUUAAUUUAUAUCCCACGGAAACAUGCUUUUAUAGGCCAAAAAUUAAUGAAUUUCUAAUGAUUCUCUGCUCUUUCCCCUCUCUCCCUUAAAUUAUUAGCAACCAUACCAAGAUGAUAAAUGAAGAAACGCCACCAAAACGAAUAUGAACUUUUUAGCAGAGCUAUUUUGGAUUGUAUUUCUUUAAAAAUGCGAGUUUUUUGCGAAUGUUCAAACCAAAUUAGUAGUGAACACAACAUAAUGCAAAACUAAUUAGUUAAUACAAUUUACAAUCCAAUUAAUUGCAUAUUUGGGUGCCUUUUUUGGUACCUUUUAAUUAUUAUGUUUUAAUGGACGAAGAUUCAUUAUCCAUAAGGAUGGUUGGUUCUAUUAGUAAACUAAAACAUUUUAGUGCAUUUGUUCAAAUUUUCAGUGUGUACUUUAAAAAAAUAGUAUUAGUUUUUCAAAAACAUUACAUACAUGAUUCAUUGGAUACAUAAGACGUGUAACACACAUACUUACUACUAGUGUAUUUAAAAAGAAGAAAGAAGUUAUCCAAUGUUUUCAAUUUGACCCGAAAUAGAAAAGCAAUAAGUUGACAACAGCUCUACAAUUUGUAAAUACGUCGAAAUGCCCUCUAAUGCUUAUAGACUUUACCAUGAGCCAGAUUUAUACUCAUUGUGGUCAAAUUGGUCUUGGUCUCACAAGUCGAUAGGUUGAACACAACGAGCUAUUAAUACUAGCAAAUUUUAUAAAGCUUAUCUCGACUAUAUCAUCAUGACCAACAAAUUUCUUUCAUUUAGCCAAGAUUUCUUCUCCUAAACUCUCUAGUUUCGAUGUUCAAACAUGUAUGAAUUUCCAUGCCCUCCUUCUUUUAGGCGAAAGUAUUUAUAGAUAUCCUUUGAAGAGCUUAGGGCAAUUGAAUUAUUUUAGAAAAUAAUAGGUGGCUAUUGUUUAAUGAUGGGUUUAUAAGCAUGUAUUUUGAUAACAAUUCAGCCAACCUGAAAGAAUGAAUGUUCGUCCCUUCCUUCUGUGAUACGUUUUUAGCUAUCUUCUCAUAUCUCUAAACUUUGCUUUAAGGGGCAUAAGCUCGUAGAAUAACAUUUUAACACUCGUUUCAAUAUUUUUCUUACCCGACAAAUAGUCCCCUAAGUUUGAGUGUAAUUAUUCAUAUUCAAGCAAUGAAGUUAAAGUCUUGUUCUUUCUUAAUUUUAUUUUCGUAGAUUUAACGGUAAUUAAUGGUUGAUUGGAUGGAAAGUUUUUAAUCUUUUCUGACAACUAGCAAUAAGUACGUGCAAAACACGUCUUAUGUAUCAGGUGAAUUAUAUACAUACAAUUUUUUAAAAGUUGUUGAGAUAAUUGAUAUUAUUAAAGAAAAAAGUAUAGUUAUUAAAUAUAAUAAAUAUAUCAUAUUUGAAUAAAACUUUUUAUGGAAAUGUGUAUAUAAUGUCAAAAUACUGAAUAAAAUGAAAUAUAAUCUUUUAAUUACAAUAACACUUCUUCGAAUACAAUAUAUUUUUUUAAUCAACGUCUCACGACUUUUCAUUCUGUAUUUGUAGUUCACAUAAAUACAAAUAUGUAAAUCAUAUAAAAAUAUCCAUACAUAUACAAAUUAUUGAAACACAAACUCAAUUAAUCUACUAUUAUAUUAAUGCAGACCUUUACAUAGUGUAAUAUUUUUUUAUGAAUAUGUAUUAUAUAUAUUUAGCUUCAAUUUCAAGUAAUUAAACUUAAAUUGAUUUAUCUAAAAUAGUCUAAUGUAAAGCAAUGAAAUUUAUAUUUUAAAGGAGAUAAAAUGAAGUAGAGUUAUAUUAAAUUUUGGACUUAAAAAAUAAUUGAUAAUUAGUAACGAUUAUUAUACAUUUAAAAUUAAAAGCGCGAUUGUCAAAGAUAAAAUAUAGAAGGGUGGAAAUGGAAAUUAAAAGUUUUCCAUACCAAAGUUUCAAUUAUUGACAUUAUCGUUUUAAAACUAUAUAUAUAAUGUUAACAUUUGAAGCAUUUCUAUUUUAUAUCAUGUUCAUAAAUGUUAAAAUUUUUACAAAUGAAUGUAAAUAAUGUAAACCAAUAAUGUUCUUAAUCAUGUUUAUGUUGAGGAUUUAAAAUUUCAAUAGUUAUUAUUCAAAUAAUUAGUUACUUACUAUUCAGUUUUGAUGAACAAAAAAAAUACUAUUAUCUAUUUCUUUAAGGGUAAUGAAUGUGAUUUUAUUUCUGUGAUUAUUUGAUUUCUUUAAAAAAUUUUGACCUCGAUUUUCCCUUGUGGUUAUAUGAUUUUCACUCUCAUUGCAAGUAUUUUCAGUUUUUUCUUAUUUCAAUAAAGGUAAAUCAAGACAAGAGCACAUGUUCAAUAAUGAUUAAAAAAUAUUAUUACAUACUAUUGUUUUCUGAAAAAAAAAUAUUUAUAUAAUUUCUUUUAAUUGUAUGUGAUAAUAAAUUUAUUAAAUAAUUAUUAAUAAUUGUGUUUAGUGGAAAUUAACUGACUUUAUUUGCUAAAGCAAUAAUAAUUAGUAAUUAUCUUAUUUAGAGAAAAUAAAUUGAAUCAUUUGGUAUUUUGUAGUUAAUUAUCUAUGUACUAUUAUUAUUUCUUUUAAUUGUAUGUAAUAAUAUUUCUAUUAAUUGUGUACAAAUAAUUGUGUUUAAUGGAAAUUAAUUGACUUAAUUUUCAAAAGCAAUAAUAAUUAUUGAUUAUCUUAUUUAGAGGAAAUAAGUUGAAUCAUUUGGAACAAAUUUUAAGUAAGGGUAAAUAAUAAAUAUAGCAUAUUAAUGCAACCUCUCGUUUUUUUUUUUUUAAUUUUCUUUUUGUAAACCAAAUGAGGGUAUAUUGGACAUAUAGGUAAAUGUGUAACGGUAUAAUUGGUAUUCAAAAAUUUAUCCUCAAUCCACACUUUUAAUAUAUUGUAGAUUAACGCGUGAUCAAAGUGAACGUCCUUUUGAUUUGCGCCAUUUAAUGUGCACGUCAUUCAUGCCUGCCUAGUGCCGUUUGCUUAUAUGCCAUUUCGAAUUCAAUGACUUGCUCCAUUUAAUGUGCAUGUCAUUCAUUUCUGUUGGGAUUUAACGGCUGGGAUACAGACGCCAUGCUAUCAAUGGCUUAUAUUCUUCUUUACUAUAAGAAAUGUGUUCUGAUAUUCUCAUCUCUUCUCCAAUAAUCAUUUUAAAAAUUGUUAAUGAUUUUUUAUUACCUUUACUGAUUUUACUGUAUUUCCCUGAUAAAUCCCUCUUUAACUUUUAUGAAAAUAUCUCAUAUACUUGGGAGAGUCUCUGAGAUUAACUUGUCUUUCUUCUACCAUGUUACAGUCAAACAUCUAAGACUUCGAUUGUUUGUGUAUAUGAUUCAAAAGUUGGCAGAAAAUGAUAUAAAAGCUGGCAAAUUUGUCAUAUUUUUGCAUUUUUCAUGUGUGUGCAUCUGAGGGAGAUCGCUUAUGGUGGAAAGGUGGUGGACCUGAUUGGCUGCUGCAAUAUGAGCUAUUAAACAGUCAUGUUCCAUUUCACCAAACUUGAUUUUACCAAAACAAUUUCAGCCUGCCCCUCAUCUUUCGGCUUAAACGACCCUCGAAGAUAGAAACUACGAAUGUGUCGAGUAGAUAGUCCACAAAAUAUGUCUUCUAGCUAGUUUAUCUUGUACAUGCUAGAUAUAAUUCGAAACUAUGUUUGCCUUGUAAUCCUUCUUUAUAUCAAUGAAGUAUCUAUUUAUUAUAUUUGCUAUGCUUAAGAACACAGCAAGAAUUUAAUCAAUCAACUUUGUUCAGUUCGCACAGUAAGAAUUCUCAUAACCAAUUUUAUUUAACUAGUGUCUCAUUGAUAAUACUUUCUCAAGUACAUACCUUUCGAAAGAUGUUAAGAGGUCACACAUCCUGUCCGGCGAGCUUCUAUGUAUUUUAUCCGACAACCUUGAUUUUUGUAUGCGGUCCUUCCCAUUUUGGACCUAACAAACUA